rnacentral:rRNA from 1 species
AGUCGAACGAAGCGCUUAACGGAUUCUUCGGAUUGAAGUUUUUGCGACUGAGUGGCGGACGGGUGAGUAACGCGUGGGUAACCUGCCUCAUACAGGGGGAUAACAGUUAGAAAUGACCGCUAAUACCGCAUAAGCGCACAGUGCUGCAUGGCACAGUGUGAAAAACUCCGGUGGUAUGAGAUGGACCCGCGUCUGAUUAGCUAGUUGGUGGGGUAACGGCCUACCAAGGCGACGAUCAGUAGCCGGCCUGAGAGGGUGAACGGCCACAUUGGGGCUGAGACACGGCCCAAACUCCUACGGGAGGCAGCAGUGGGGAAUAUUGCACAAUGGGGGAAACCCUGAUGCAGCGACGCCGCGUGAGCGAAGAAGUAUUUCGGUAUGUAAAGCUCUAUCAGCAGGGAAGAAAAUGACGGUACCUGACUAAGAAGCACCGGCUAAAUACGUGCCAGCAGCCGCGGUAAUACGUAUGGUGCAAGCGUUAUCCGGAUUUACUGGGUGUAAAGGGAGCGUAGACGGUUGUGUAAGUCUGAUGUGAAAGCCCGGGGCUCAACCCCGGGACUGCAUUGGAAACUAUGUAACUAGAGUGUCGGAGAGGUAAGCGGAAUUCCUAGUGUAGCGGUGAAAUGCGUAGAUAUUAGGAGGAACACCAGUGGCGAAGGCGGCUUACUGGACGAUCACUGACGUUGAGGCUCGAAAGCGUGGGGAGCAAACAGG